CGGGAUAUGGCGCAGCUUGGUAGCGCACCUCGUUCGGGACGAGGGGGUCGCAGGUUCAAAUCCUGUUAUCCCGA
rfam:Corynebacterium jeikeium K411 complete genome